GGGGAUGUGGCUCAGUAGUAGAGCACUUGCCUGGCAUGUGAGAGGGUGUAGGCUUGAUUUCUGCCACCACAA
rnacentral:tRNA from 1 species